rnacentral:rRNA from 1 species
AUUGAACGCUGGCGGCAGGCCUAACACAUGCAAGUCGAGCGGAUGAAGGGAGCUUGCUCCUGGAUUCAGCGGCGGACGGGUGAGUAAUGCCUAGGAAUCUGCCUGGUAGUGGGGGAUAACGUCCGGAAACGGGCGCUAAUACCGCAUACGUCCUGAGGGAGAAAGUGGGGGAUCUUCGGACCUCAUGCUAUCAGAUGAGCCUAGGUCGGAUUAGCUAGUUGGUGGGGUAAAGGCCUACCAAGGCGACGAUCCGUAACUGGUCUGAGAGGAUGAUCAGUCACACUGGAACUGAGACACGGUCCAGACUCCUACGGGAGGCAGCAGUGGGGAAUAUUGGACAAUGGGCGAAAGCCUGAUCCAGCCAUGCCGCGUGUGUGAAGAAGGUCUUCGGAUUGUAAAGCACUUUAAGUCGGGAGGAAGGGCAGUAAGUUAAUACCUUGCUGUUUUGACGUUACCAACAGAAUAAGCACCGGCUAACUUCGUG